AUUGAACGCUGGCGGCAGGCCUAACACAUGCAAGUCGAACGAGUGGCGGACGGGUGAGUAAUGUCUGGGAAACUGCCUGAUGGAGGGGGAUAACUACUGGAAACGGUAGCUAAUACCGCAUACCCUCAGAUGUGCCCAGAUGGGAUUAGAUAGUUGGUGGGGUAACGGCCCACCAAGGAGACGAUCCCUAGCUGGUCUGAGAGGAUGACCAGCCCCACUGGCACUGAGACACGGUCCAGACUCCUACGGGAGGCAGCAGUUGUGAAUAUGGCACAAUUGGCGCAAGCCUGAUGCAGCCAUGCCGCGUGUAUGAAGAAGGCCUUCGGGUUGUAAAGUACUUUCAGCGGGGAGGCGUUACCCGCAGAAGAAGCACCGGCUAACUCCGUGCCAGCAGCCGCGGUAAUAC
rnacentral:rRNA from 1 species